rnacentral:snRNA from 1 species
GUUAUUUUGUUUACGGUUCGUCAU